GAAAGCCCGGGCAACUGGGUGGGUAAAGUGGCGCACGGGUGAGUAACACGUGGGUAACCUUCCCUUGAGCCGGGGAUAACUCCGCGAAAGCGGGGCUAAUACCGGAUAAUGUUUCGAUGUCUUCGGGCGUUGAAACCAAAGGUGGCCUCUGCUUGCAAGCUAUCAUCUGGGGAUGGGCCCGCGUCCUAUUAGCUAGUUGGUAGGGUAAAGGCCUACCAAGGCAAAGAUCGGUAGCCGGCCUGAGAGGGCACACGGCCACACUGGCACUGAAACACGGGCCAGGAUCCUACGGGAGGCAGCUC
rnacentral:sRNA from 1 species